AUUUCUUCUUCCCCCCCUGCCCAGAUCAAGAAACCGUGUCCUAGAAUCCACCGAGAUCGCUGGAAAGGCGACAUCCUCCGGAGACUCUUCUCGCUCCCCUCGUCGGCACGGAUCGAGCGGUUGUUUUAGUUGGAAGAUUUCUCCUUUCUUUUCCUUCUGGUCGCUGGCCGGAGACACGGCGUGUCGGGGCGCGCGGAGAUGGUGGCCGAGGCGGAGGUGAUGCAUCAGCAGCCGGCGCCCGUUCUGGAGGUGCAGUACCGCCGGUGCGUCGCCAAGGGGGCCGGGAUGUCGGCGGUCGCCGUGCCGGAGGUGGAGGUGGAGGUCGCCGUCGAGCUGCCUCGCAUGGGAUUGGCGAACACCGAUGGUGCGACGAGUGUGUCCGCUGAGACACUACAGUUUGUACCCAAUAUUCGGUCUGGAAGCUUUGCUGAUAUCGGACCUAGGAGGUACAUGGAAGAUGAACACAUCCGGAUAGAUGAUCUUUCAGCUCAUCUUGGCUCGCUGUUGGUGUGCCCACUACCUAGUGCCUUCUAUGGGGUCUUUGAUGGCCAUGGGGGUCCGGAUGCUGCAGCCUACAUGAAAAGGCAUGCCAUGAGGUUCCUGUUUGAGGAUAGAGAGUUCCCACAAGCAUUGCAAGUGGAUGAUGUAUUCCUUCAGUCCGUCGAGGAAUGCAUUCGCAGCGCGUUCUUGCAAGCCGAUCUUGCUCUGGCAGAUAAUUUAGACAUCAGCCGCUCCUCCGGAACUACCGCACUCGCAGCAUUAGUAUUUGGGAGGCAACUGUUGGUUGCGAACACCGGUGACUGCCGAGCGGUCCUUUGCCGGAGAGGCAUAGCGAUGGAGAUGUCUCGGGACCACAGGGCAAACUACGCCGAGGAGUGCGAGAGGGUGGCCGCCUCCGGCGGAUACAUCGAGGACGGGUACCUCAACGGGGUGCUCUCGUUGACGCGUGCCCUAGGCGACUGGGACAUGAAGGUGCCCGACUGCUCCACGUCGCCCCUCAUCGCGGAGCCCGAGUUCCAGCAGGCGACGCUGAGCGAGGACGACGAGUUCCUCAUCAUGGGCUGCGACGGCAUCUGGGACGUGAUGACGAGCCAGCACGCGGUGAGCGUGGUCCGGCGGGGCCUGCGGCAGCACGACGACCCCGAGCGGUGCGCGCGGGAGCUCGUCAUGGAGGCGAAGCGGCUCGAGACGGCCGACAACCUGACCGUCAUCGUGGUGUGCUUCGGGUCGGAGCUCGGGUCACCGCCGCCGCCCCCCGCUGCCGCGGCGGCGAGGCCGAGGAGCUGCAAGGGCCUGUCGGCGGAGGCCCUGUGCAACCUGAGGAGCUGGCUGGAGACUGACCGCUAGCUCUAGCUUGAGAUGCCUGCUCUGCUCCUGCUCCCCUACCUAGUGCUGCUGGUCGGUUCGUUCCCACGCUGUAAAUAUGCUGACAUCGGUCGAGGAAUCGUAACUGCCACUUCCCUUUUAGUCCCUACCAUUUUUUUCAGGCGGUAGCCCGGCAGUUUUGUAGGGGCAUUCUCCCAUUGUUUCCUGUGCUUUUCUCUCUCUGUUGCUGUUAUUGCUCACGCCAUUGCUGUUGUACAUAGUACUACAUGGUAGUACAUCCGUUGCGGCCACGGAUGGACCUGAUUUCCUCGAGCAACAUCUGCUGCUAUCUAACAGAAAUAUUCGGGGGGCUAUGGUCAACUCGAUUCAUCAG
rnacentral:rRNA from 1 species